UGGGGAAUAUUGGACAAUGGGCGCAAGCCUGAUCCAGCCAUGCCGCGUGAGUGAUGAAGGCCUUAGGGUUGUAAAGCUCUUUCAGUGGGGACGAUAAUGACGGUACCCACAGAAGAAGCCCCGGCUAACUUCGUGCCAGCAGCCGCGGUAAUACGAAGGGGGCUAGCGUUGUUCGGAUUUACUGGGCGUAAAGCGCACGUAGGCGGAUCGUUAAGUCGGGGGUGAAAUCCUGGAGCUCAACUCCAGAACU
rnacentral:rRNA from 1 species